rnacentral:rRNA from 1 species
AUUGAACGCUGGCGGCAGGCCUAACACAUGCAAGUCGAGCGGAGCGGCGGACGGGUGAGUAAUGUCUUGGAAUCUGCCUGGUAGUGGGGGAUAACGUCCGGAAACGAGCGCUAAUACCGCAUACUAUCAGAUUAGCCUAGGUCGGAUUCGCUAGUUGGUGGGGUAAAGGCCUACCAAGGCGACGAUCCGUAACUGGUCUGAGAGGAGGAUCAGUCACACGGGAACUGAGACACGGCCCAGAGUCCUACGGAAGGCAGAAGUGGGGAAUAUUGGACAAUGGGCGAAAGCCUGAUCCAGCCAUGCCGGGUGUGUGAAGAAGGUCUUCGGAUUGUAAAGCACUUUAAGUUGGGAGGCGUUACCAACAGAAUAAGCACCGGCUAACUUCGUGCCAGCCGCCGCGGUAAUAC